rnacentral:rRNA from 1 species
AGUAUUUCGUACGCAAAGUUCUUUUAUUAGGGAAGAAUAAAUGAUGGAAAAAUCAUUCUGACGGUACCUAAAGAAUAAACCCCCGCUAACUAUGUGCCAGCGGCCGCGGUAAUACAUAAAGGGCAAGCGUUAUCCGGAAUUAUUGGGCGUAAAGGGUGCGUAGGCGGUUAAAUAAGUUUAUGGUCUAAGUGCAAUGCUCAACAUUGUGAUGCUAUAAAAACUGUUUAGCUAGAGUAAGAUAGAGGCAAGUGGAAUUCCAUGUGUAGUGGUAAAAUGCGUAAAUAUAUGGAGGAACACCAGUAGCGAAGGCGGCUUGCUGGGUCUUUACUGACGCUGAGGCACGAAAGCGUGGGGAGCAAACAGGAUUAGAUACCCUGGUAGUCCACGCCGUAAACGAUGAGUACUAAACGUUGGGUAAAACCAGUGUUGAAGUUAACACAUUAAGUACUCCGCCUGAGUAGUACGUACGCAAGUAUGAAACUUAAAGGAAUUGACGGGACUCCGCACAAGCGGUGGAUCAUGUUGUUUAAUUCGAAGGUACCCGAAAAACCUCACCAGGUCUUGACAUGCUUCUGCAAGCUGUAGAAACACAGUGGAGGUUAUCAGUUGCACAGGUGGUGCAUGGUUGUCGUCAGCUCGUGUCGUGAGAUGUUGGGUUAA